rnacentral:rRNA from 1 species
UACAGAGGGUGCAAGCGUUACUCGGAAUUACUGGGCGUAAAGCGCACGUAGGUGGCUGGGUAAGUUGGAUGUGAAAUCCCCGGGCUUAACUUGGGAAUUGCAUUCAAGACUGCCUUGCUAGAGUGUGGAAGAGGGAAGCGGAAUUCCAGGUGUAGCGGUGAAGUGCGUAGAUAUCUGGAGGAACAUCAGUGGCGAAGGCGGCUUCCUGGUCCAACACUGACACUGAGGUGCGAAAGCGUGGGGAGCAAACAGG